GAGAUAUAUCCAAUCCUCAGGUCAGUCAUCAACGCAGUCAGAGAUAUAUCCAACCCUCGGGUCAGUCCUCAAUGUUGUCAGAGAUAUAUCCAACCCUCAGGUCAGUCCUCAAUGUUGUCAGAGAUAUAUCCAACCCUCAGGUCAGUCCUCAAUGUUGUCAGAGAUAUAUCCAACCCUCAGGUCAGUCCUCAAUGUUGUCAGAGAUAUAUCCAACCCUCAGGUCAGUCCUCAAUGUUGUCAGAGAUAUAUCCAACCCUCGGGUCAGUCCUCAAUGUUGUCAGAGAUAUAUCCAAUCCUCAGGUCAGUCCUCAAUGUUGUCAGAGAUAUAUCCAACCCUCAGGUCAGUCCUCAAUGUUGUCAGAGAUAUAUCCAACCCUCGGGUCAGUCCUCAAUGUUGUCAGAGAUAUAUCCAAUCCUCAGGUCAGUCCUCAAUGUUGUCAGAGAUAUAUCCAACCCUCAGGUCAGUCCUCAAUGUUGUCAGAGAUAUAUCCAACCCUGGGGUCAGUCCUCAAUGUUGUCAGAGAUAUAUCCAAUCCUCAGGUCAGUCCUCAAUGUUGUCAGAGAUAUAUCCAACCCUCAGGUCAGUCCUCAAUGUUGUCAGAGAUAUAUCCAACCCUCAGGUCAGUCCUCAAUGUUGUCAGAGAUAUAUCCAACCCUCAGGUCAGUCCUCAAUGUUGUCAGAGAUAUAUCCAACCCUCGGG